GACAGAGGGUGCAAACGUUGUUCGGAAUUACUGGGCGUAAAGCGAGUGUAGGCGGUCUUGAAAGUCGGAUGUGAAAGCCCUGGGCUCAACCCAGGAAGUGCAUUCGAUACUCCGAGGCUAGAGUACUGGAGAGGUGGGUGGAAUUCUCGGUGUAGAGGUGAAAUUCGUAGAUAUCGAGAGGAACACCGGCUGGCGAAGGCGGC
rnacentral:rRNA from 1 species